AUUGAACGCUGGCGGCAGGCUUAACACAUGCAAGUCGAACGGGUGAAGGGAGCUUGCUCCUGCGUUCAGCGGCGGACGGGUGAGGAAUGCCUAGGAAUAUGACUGGUAGUGGAGGAUACCGUCCGGAAACGGGCGCUAGUAGCGAAUACGUCCUGAGGGCGAAAGUGGGGAAACUUCGGACCUGACGCUAGCAGAAAAGCCCAGGUCGGAUUAGCUAACUGGUGGGGGAAAGGCCUACCAAGGCGACGAUCCGUAACUGGUCUGAGAGGAUGAACAGUCACACUGGAACUGAGACACGGUCCAGACUCCUACGGGAGGCAGCAGUGGGGAAUAUUGGACGAUGGGGGAAAGCCUGAUCCAGCCAUGCCGCGUGUGUGAAGAAGGUCUUCGGAUGGUAAAGCACAUUAAGUUGGGAGGAAGGGCAGUAAGUUAAUACCUUGCUGUUUUGACGUUACCAACAGAAGAAGCACCGGCUAACUACGUG
rnacentral:rRNA from 1 species